GAACUGCUGAGGAGUCCCAGAAUAAGACGAAAACGCCGUCCAGUGC
rnacentral:hammerhead_ribozyme from 1 species